UCCUGGCCUGUCUCCUCUCCGCCGCGCCCUCCUCCCCGCGUCGUCCGAGUCCUCCGGGCGCGGUUCGCCGAAGGCGAGGCCCAGGCCGCCGCGCUCCUGGCCCGCGUCGGCCGGUUCGAGCGCACGCCGCCGACCGCGACCAGCUGCUCAUCACGCUCCUCUCCGCCGCGGGAAAUGGCCGGGAGGAGGAGGACGCGUGGGAGGCGGGGCAGCGUCCGAUCCGGCCGAGGCUUACGGCGACACGGACACGGAGGCUCUGGCCGCGGUCGCUGCGCUCCCUCCGUUCACUACCUUCCCGUGAGCUUACUUCCACCCUAGCCUCUCCCCUUUCCUCUUUGUUUUUUAACUGAUUCCCAACUGCUUGAUCAAUCCCGCUCCUCUGCUCCUGCUGGAUGGCUUUCUCUGUUCAAUUGCUUAAUUUGGUUGUCUUGUCUUACCUGAACUGCAAGGGAACCAACAUACAUGGCAUGAUGGAUGGAGAUCAGUAGAUGUUUUUUGUUCUAUUCACAUGCUUUCUACUAUAUAAUUUUCCCCCAAAAUAUGAUGGGUAGUGGUGUGCUUGCUUGCAUUGAUCGCAUGGUGGCCAGCACUUCACCACACAUCUGACGACGACUGUUUUAUCCAUGAGGUGGAGGAUAAGGUAUUCACCUCUAAAAUCACACUUCCGUUUUCCUGUUUCCAUCUGAAAUAUGGAUUACCAAUAUACUACUAUCACUUGGAUUUGCACAUGAAAGCAGUAUAAAUACUUGCACCGAACUGUACGAUUUGUUGAGCCAAGUGUCGAGUCUGAUAUUGUUUGGUGAGAUUCUCUUCAGAAAACAAGAUUUGUAUUGGUGGUAGAUCGACAGCAACUGACAGCAUCUUCGUCAUCCGCGGUGGCAGUGCCAUCCGCGCAGAAUGCCUUUAGCGGCCGCACCGCCGCCACCGACACCGCCACACAGCUAAUGAUGUCGGCAUGUGGUGAAAAAAGGGCCCAAGUGAAAGGUCGACCAAGCUGUAAAAAUUCAGUGAGAGGAAUUUUUGUGCUCACAGCUCACACCAUGGCGUCCGUUGCCUCUGUUCUUACUUUAUUAUUUUGUUUUUCCCUUCGUCAAUUUUUCACGACGCCUGACAAGAACAAGAAUUGCAAAGAAGAAGUGAAAAGAAAACACAGAACAAAGGAUGAACGCCGGAGAGCACUACUAUAUAAUUUUCCCCCAAAAUAUGAUGGGCAGUGGUGUGCUUGUUUGCAUUGAUCGCAUGGUGGCCCGCACUUCACCACACAUCUGACGGCGACUGUUUUAUCCAUGAGGUGGAGGAUAAGAGAAGCGCAUCUCUGAAAUUCACAGUUUUGAACCUAAAGAGACACAUCUAGAAAAUGAUUGCACGAGUGGUUCCAGUGUCAUGUACGUCAACAUGGUUGGAGAUUUGGGAUCGGAUGCUGCGUGAAGAGCGAGGGACCGAGGUGCUGAACUAACAGCAGGGGGAGGGUGAUUCUUCAGGUACCAACAUGGCUGUCGACUAGAGAAUUUAGUUAACCGUUUGCUUUACUUGAAGCUCCAAAUUGUAGUUAUUUUAUUCGUUCACUAAUUUGGUAUAAUCCUAAUCUAGGAGGACUAUGAUUGUAUGAUAUGAGAUCCUGACAUUUAUCAAUAAUAAAAGUCUGACACUGAAUGGUUCUUUUCGGAAGUACAGUUGUAAGAUCUAUGAUUCUAGCAUCGACCUUUAACUGGACAGUACUAAUUGGACAUAUAAUUGAUUAUUUAUUCACAACAAGAUAUUCUGUUUGUUUUAGUUUUUCAAUCAGAUUCGUCUAGCCCUUUGUUGACUUUCUAAUUGUUCCACCCUCUACCUCUGAAACUCAGAAAUCAGAGAAAGGUCAUUGGCAUAUCCCUAUCUCUGACGAAAAUUUGCUAGCGAGGAAGAGGACCAGAAUGUUUUUUUCUAUUGUUGGGGAUAUACAUAAUACAUAUAGAUAAAUUUGGACCAUUUAUAACAGAGAUUUCUUGCCAAAAUAAUUAACUCUGUCCAGCAGUGGGCACUGUCAAGGUAAUAACAGGAAUUUGCUGAACCUAAUUGAAAGAAAGAGGGAUGGUAAUCCGAUUGAGAACAUUCUCUAACUAAAAUAGACUUACGAACAAUCAACAAUAUCAAAUAGUUUCAAAUUAACAAAUGUUGUUUGAUUAAAAUACUGAUUUAAGAAUUUGGUGAAUCUAUAAUUCUCUACAUAAUCACUUGGUGCAUUGUUAGACCACUUGGGGACAAUAUCAUCAAUUUCUUGCAUACUGCAAUAAUGCAAGUUUAAAAAUCCAGUUUCUUGUGUUUCUUAUUAUCUCUGUGUUCAGCUAACUGCCAAGAAUCAUAUAAGGAUGCAUCUAAUGAGGUAGAUUUUGUUUAUGCAUUUUUUAAGUGUAGGGAUGCUGUAUCUGAUUAACAAAACAUUGUUCAACCUUCUAUGAGUCCACCUAGGGAGCUGCACAAAUUUGGAACAACUUCCAGAACAGGCAUCCAAACAUUUUGGUCUGCUACCAGUAAGCUGCCAGAGCAAGAUAGCUGGGAGUCUGGGAUGUCGAGUCAUCGAGCCGUCCAAUGCCAAGUUCGUCGGCGGAAGGAGAACAUCCGUCAAGCCGUCCAUCGCCUGAGGCGGCUACACCAGAGCACACAGCUUACAAACACACGGCUUCCGCUGGCUUGGCUAGCUUUGUACGUCCACUUUGCGCUACAAGUCGCCUUUCUACGCUGUCUUACAAUCUCGUAGUACAGACCGUGCUCCACCUGAGGUACGCCCGAUCUCAUGCCAAGCUUGCCAAGCUAACUACGGUUCUGUCGUUUUGAAAAAGGCAUGAACUUUCCUUUGUGCCUGCAACCAUAGGUUCCAUCAUCAUUACCUUGCGUGUAUAUGGACAGCUUGCACUCUUUAGGACUGAUAGAUGUGAAAUUAUUAGAUCUUUGCAUCAAUUACAGGAACAGCACAAUGUAAGAUAUGCAAGUUUAUCGAGAGGAAUGCAAAGAAAAAAAGCACAUGUAUGGUUUAUUUGGCAUCACCAGCUUUUGUGUUUUCAGUGUACAUCUUAGCCUAUGUAAACUGCAAGUUGAAUAAAGUGUGCUCUCUUUCUCUAGAAUACUUUCUUUAAUAAAUGUAGAACAUAAAAGCCUGAUCUUAAUAAGCGAGACCUCAAGCUGUUCUUUCAAGAUAGAUUCAGAUCAAACCUUUUCAAAGUAAAGAUCCCUCGGCCAGAGACUUAAGUUACUCCCGUGAGUACAUACUAAGCUUUAGUAGAAAAACUUGUUGAUUGACUGGAAUCAACGAAAUUUCGAUGCAACCAACUGCAACAAGUGGCAUCAUGAACUAGCUAUGAGAAAUAUUUAUAGGGUACUACUAGCAACCGCCAAGGAAUCCGUCACAAAAACAUGUCAGGCAGCUAGGCAUGCGAGUGAGAUGUGUGUCGGUAACAUUGGAUGUCUGUCUGUAAAUGUAAAUCAAGAAAAAUGGUUCUUGGUAUCUAGAGAAGAAAUAUAUACACACACACACACACACGAGAGAGUAAUUCAUAGUGGAUCUAAAAAUACCUAUUAAUGUUGUACAUUUGUUGACUCGACAUGCUGCAAGAUCUUCUGAUUUGUUCUCUAAAGGUGACCUCAGAGUAUAGCGUUGCAUAUUCCUGAGGCAAUUGUGAUGCUCUGUUUUGUUAGGACUAAGAUGCUUGAACAUGUAAGCAGUACACUAUCGAGCAAUAGAGAUCUUUCUCAUGCUGACUACAUGCUGCCAUUUGGGCCAUACACAUUGUUUAGUAACUAAUCAAAAAGUGUCAAAGGCUAGUACCAAAGCAAAUAUGAAUCUGCUAACUAUACUAAUACUGCCACAACUA